CUUGAGAACACUUCAUCCAUUACCUCCAGGCAAUCAUGUCGACUCUCAGUAGGUUGCGGCAAGAGGGUAGCUGGGUUCAAGGUAUUAACAGUCUCAAGAUGCACUCUCGGGUUCUCGCAUAACAUGGCUUGAUACUUAGUCAUGCGGCUAUUGCUAAACCAAUAAUUACCUUUAUAGUCUAGCAACGUCUGUACUGCGUGCGGGACUCGCACAUAG